rnacentral:rRNA from 1 species
CGUAGGGGGCAAGCGUUGUCCGGAAUCAUUGGGCGUAAAGCGCGUGUAGGCGGUCCGGUAAGUCGGCUGUGAAAGUCCAGGGCUCAACCCUGGGAUGCCGGUCGAUACUGCCGGACUAGAGUUCGGAAGAGGCGAGUGGAAUUCCCGGUGUAGCGGUGAAAUGCGCAGAUAUCGGGAGGAACACCAAUGGCGAAGGCAGCUCGCUGGGACGUUACUGACGCUGAGACGCGAAAGCGUGGGGAGCAAACAGGAUUAGAUACCCUGGUAGUCCACGCCGUAAGCGAUGGGCACUAGGUGUGGGAGGUGUCGACUCCUCCCGUGCCGGAGCUAACGCAUUAAGUGCCCGCCUGGGGAGUACGGCCGCAAGGCUA